UCUCGCUGCCAUAGCGUUAGGACUUCUGCCGCCGGUCCCAUUUCGCUGACCUUGGAGUCGAUUGCCAGCUUGUCGAGGCACCGGAGUAGCGGCGAAUACGGCGGCUGCCGCUGGUCGUCAUCCUUGGUCCGCUUGCUGCCAUCCACCACAACCAAAUAAUUAGGCAAGGUGCAUACGAACAUACACGGUAUUUUUCUAUACAUAAAAGAUUUGCUAGUUGAUGUAACCCCCUUUUGCUUUUGUUUGGCUAUACUUCGCUAGUUGAAGAACAAAGAUUUUUUUCCAGGCCAAUUGCCUCAAUUUCAACUCUGUGCUACUACCCAAAAUUUGGAUCGAGACUGUAGAACCAUAUACGUUUUUGUUAGAAAAUAGCCAAAUAUAUGUAUUUGCUUAUCAAUUUGAAGUAUUUCCUAGGAAACUAUGAAUUUUAAUAUUUUAGAUGACUUGUUAUUGACGCAUUUCGAAACAUAUGUUGAUAUGAUAUUUCGGUUGAUAUAACAUAUUAUACUUGUGAUCGUCAUUGCUCCCUGCUCCUCCCCCACCCUCCAUGUCCAAAUCCUGGCUCCGCCCCUGCCUUCACACAUCCACACUCUUGGCAUCAGAUUCUUCUGCUUGACCGUUCCUGUUCGUUCAAUAUGGUUGUUCUCAUGUGUGUGCUGCUCUUGGGCCGUCUUUCCUAUUGGAAGCUACUCCCGAAAAAAUCGGAGCCUUCUCGUUCACACAUACAACCUAACGUUCGAUCCAAGUUGGACGAUCAUGAUAUGACCAGGCAUUUCCUCUCAUUCCACCAUGACCUAUCGUCUCUCUUGUUCGAUUUUCACCCUCAAUCUCUAUCAUGUCUCUCUCAGGCGGAAUCUAUCAGGUGCACCCACGUCUGUGGUACUACCGGUGCAUUAGAUGCCGUAGAACAUUUUUAAAAAUCUAAAAAAAAUCUAGCACAUUGACACAACUUCAAUGUAUGUUGUCACAAAAAUUGGUAUGAAAAUUUGAAAUAUUUCUUGAGAUACAGAAAGGACAAAUUUACCAUCAAUGCGAUAAUGGGCGAAAUCUAAAGGCCAACUUAUAUUAUGUACUAUUCACUGUUAAAUUUUUCUUUUUGUUUCCCAAGAUAUGUUUCGAAUUUUGACUUGAAAUUUUGUGACAACCUACAUUGAUGCUGUGUUAAUGUGCUAAUUUUCUUUCCAGAAAUGUUUGAACAAUUUAAAAGUGCAAUGUGAGUUCAUUCACCGGUAGCACCACAAGCACUGGUGCACUAGAUACUCUCCCCUCUCUCAGGUGUGUCGCCACAGUUGGCAUUCCCUUCAGCUUGUAUGUACAUGAUUGGAUUCCAGAAGAAAAUGAAAGAGGGCAUGUAUCCAAUCCUUAGAAAAUCCAUCUAUAGUUCUCGUGGUUCAAAAAAAACUUGUAUUAGUUUAAUAUUUUUAUAUUCCUUCAAUCUGGCAAUCCUGCAAAACAAAAAGGGCACACUAGAAGUUAUUUGGUUACACCAUAUAAACAACACGUGAAUUGUUCUGACAGAUUCAAGGAAUGUCGUAGUUGCCUUUGAAAUAAUACAAAAAUGAUAUGAGUUGGAUCCAAAAGAAAGUCUAUUUGAAAUUGAAUUCAAUGUAUAUCAUAGGAAAAGAAGUUGUAUGGUCGCAAUCAUACAAACCAAACAAGUUCCAUAGAAAUUUCUAACAAAUGGAGUCUUCUAGAAUUCAUACUCCAUUUCUGUAUACAAGGCCACUUUAUAAUUUUUUUAUAUCUAACUUUCAUCAUUAAUUUUAUACACAAAUAUUGAGUUAUAUGAUACAAAAAGUAUGUCAUUAGACACACAUUUCAAUGAUAUAUUUUGAUGACAUAUAAGCCAUAUUUUGUUAACCAAAAUUAUAAGUCAAAGUUUGACACAAAAAAUGAAGUGGCCUUGUAUAGAGAAAUGGAGGGAGUAUUCAAUUUCGUUGAACCAAAGUGUCUUAUUCUAAAUGUAAGAGCAAACUAUUGGUUAAUUAGUUCUUAGUGGCUAGAUAUAAGAGACGGUGUCCUGGACUGGUGGGGGGGUGCUUAUACGGCCCCCACAAUCCACGAGCGGAGCUCAUGGCCCACCGAUCAUUACAGAGGACUCCGGAAGCCUUGAACCUCGACGUGAUCAAGAUGGAAACCUCUGAAGACUUGGCGUGUACCUCAAGAUGGAACCCAGAUACAUCAGGGUGGUCGACAAUGUUCCAUAUGAGCGCAGACGCUCGUUUGAAACCUUCAAAGAAAACGAAAAAAGGACUAGAUCAUUUGACGGUGUUCCAUGCGGGCACCCUUUCCCAUUCACGUGGUCGUAUGACAUCCUCGACCAAAAUAAGUAACCAGAGCAUUUGUCGGUGUUCCAAAUGGGUGCUGCCGCCCGUUUCAGUGGUCGUAUGAGUUAUGCACAGACACAGGUGAGUAACCAGGGUGAACGACGGUCUUUCGGUUGUAUGGACCCCUAACGGCCACAAUAAGCCCGAGGAAGGAGGUAAAUCACCCCCAUCUCACUAUUUUCUCCUUAUUCCCCAAAAUAUCUCCAAACCCUAGCAAAACUUCGCCCGUUCUCUCUACUCGCUCGAUUUCAGUUCAAAUCCUUCUACGUGAUCAACAUACGAUAUGUUUCUCCUUCGAUCCCCAAUUUAAUUUUCUCGAAUUCGUGUUCUACAUUCCUAGCAUUGCCAUGUCUAGGAAAUGCAUAUUUUGAUCCAAAUUUGAGUUUGGCUUGGAUUCUUUGAUGUUUUUAGAGGAGUAUGAUGUCGAUCAAUAUCGUUUAAUUGCAUUGGACUAAAAAAGUGUUUUGUAGAUGUGUACGAGGAGGUCCACUUGCAUAGGCAGUGCUUUGAGUUCAUCCACCGCACCGCCACAACAAAUUUUCACUCAGGGGAUCGUUUUCACUGUCCGUGGAGCAAGAAAGAAGUUUCAAAGACUCGGUACAAGGAAGAUCAAAGUAUCCAUGUGCGCUUGCGCGACAACACUUGCUAAGCUAGAUAUUACUAAUGAUUUCAAUUUGCGUUGUCAUAAUGCCGGGUUGCACCAUUUUGUUUAUCAGGGAUGUGAGACAUAUGAAUGCAUGACGCUUGAGUUUCUUAGCACUCUCUCGCACAAUGUUAGUCUAAUGCCCAAUGCAUACGAGGAGGAGUGAACCACUUUCUGUUUGGACCAAGACUUCAACAUCACUUUUCAAGAGUGGUGUAAUUACUUUGGCUUCCCCAACAAUGAUGAAGACAUCCGCUAUAUUUAUGAGUUUAUUGACCCGUACCCGAGGCAAUCCUUCUACCAGAUGAGUUGUCAUGGCUCAAGGCAAAGAGCCAGUUGCAUUGAGAGUCUUGCUAUACAUCAUUUCUAUUAUGUUAUCACUAACUCGUUGCAGGCACGAGGAGAAGUUUCUAAGGUGAAUGAUGAGAACAUGCUAGUUCUCGGGAAAGAAGCAAACCUUGACGUCGGUUAUUCGCCCAACUUAGGGGCAAUACUUUUGCACCUCGCACAUCAAGAAAAUCAUGCACAAGGAGAUAUCGUGUGUGGAGGAGUGAUCACCAUGUUGGCCAAUUCCCUUGGCCUCAACUACAAUCAGCUUCACCCCAUAGUCGGUAACAACCUUGUUAAUAUUCAUGUUCUUACUAGCGUUGAAAUGGUAGUAGUUCGUAAUGGUUGUCAUUGCAUCAGAAUUCCUGGAGUGGCAUACUUUUUGCCUACUCCUAUGCCUAACCGUUUCUCCAAAGAACAUUGACAAUUGCAUUAUGUUGCACAGGAAGGAGAUGCAGCUGUUGACCAAGAAGGCCCAGAACCUGAGAAGGUAGAUGAAGAAGAACUCGUCACCGAUGAAGAAGAGGAGCAGCCACAACAAGAAAACUACGCCACCUAUGCAAACCUUAUGUGGAUCUCUGCAGUCUCCAGGGCUCUAUUAAUGAUAUGAGCAACCUCGCCACGUCCCUUCGAGGCACGUCCACCUACAUGAACAUGAGCUUCUCCAACUGGAGCCAAGAAUGGGCUCCUGACAGAUGUCUGCUAGAACUACGUUGGUAUUUCCCCAAAGAGGAAGGGAUGAGGCAGCAUAGCGACGGUAGGUAUUUCCCUCAGUGAUGAGACCAAUAUUAUCGAACCAGUAGGAGAACCUCCUCACACCACAUAAACAGCACCUGCACACAAAUAACAAAUACUUGCAACCCGACGUGUUAAAGGGUUUGUCAAUCCCUUUCGGGUAUGGCGCCUCAAGAUAGGCAAAUAACGCGAGGUAAAAGUGGUAGAUAGAAUAAAUAGAUUGCGGAACAAAUAAAUUAAAGCAAGGAAUUUCUGUAUUUUUGGUUUAAUAGAUAUGAAAAUAAAUGCAAUAGAAAAUAUAUCACAAGGCAAAUAUGAUGAAAAGAGACCGGCGG
rnacentral:lncRNA from 1 species